ACGGAAGGUGCAAGCGUUAGUCGGAAUUACUGGGCGUAAAGGGUGCGUAGGCGGUGAUAUAAGUCGGAUGUGAAAUUCCAAGGCUCAACCUUGGAGCUGCAUCCGAGACUGUACCACUAGAGGAAUGGCGGAGAGAAUGGAAUUCCAGAUGUAGGGUUAAGAAGCGUUCAUAUAUGGAGGAAGAACCGGAGCGAGGGGGGUUAUCUAGCUUUCACCGGACGGUGAGACCCGUGAGCAAGUGGUGGAAGAAG
rnacentral:rRNA from 1 species